UUGGAGGGCAGUCUGGUGCCAGCAGCCGCGGUAAUUCCAGCUCCAAUAGCGUAUAUUUGAGUUGUUGCAGUUAAAAAGCUCAUAGUUGAAUUUCGGGGUCAGCAGGUUGGUCGUGCCAAUGGUAUGCACUGGCCUUGCUGAUUCCUCCCUCUUGAUGAGCCGUAAUGCCAUUAAUUUGGUGUUGCGGGGAAUCAGGACUGUUACUUUGAAAAAAUUAGAGUGUUUAAAGCAGGCAAGCGCUUGAAUACAUUAGCAUGGAAUAAUGAAAUAGGACGUUUAAUCCUAUUUUGUUGGUUUCUAGGAUUGACGUAAUGAUUAAUAGGGAUAGUUGGGGGCAUUAGUAUUCAAUUGUCAGAGGUGAAAUUCUUGGAUUUAUUGAUGACUAACUACUGCGAAAGCAUUUGCCAAGGAUGUUUUCAUUAAUCAAGAACGAAAGUUAGGGGAUCGAAGACGAUCAGAUACCGUCGUAGUCUUAACCAUAAACUAUGCCGACUAGGGAUCGGAUGAUGUAAUUU
rnacentral:rRNA from 1 species